UAUUUGGCUCCUCUGACUUGAAUUCAAGGGGAGUAAAGGGCUUGUUAUAGAAGAAAACUCUUCAGAAAAAUAACAGCACUUUUUUUUGCAUCAACUACUUGGAGCAGAACAGAAAACUGGCUGCCGGGAUACACCGUGCCUUUGAUGCUGCAAAAGGCGCUGGGUUAUAGCGGGGCGGAGACUGCCGCAAAGGCUGCUGUGGCUAUGGUAACCUUUGCUGGGAGCAAAAGGAGGUGAUGCCAGUGAGGAAGAGGCCUUAGGAGCUGCUGC